rnacentral:misc_RNA from 1 species
AGAAAUUUCCAGGCCGAGGAUCUUCAUUACUCGUCCAUGAAGUGAUCACAUUUCGUAAGCCACUAAUUUUAUUGAAACCAAAUCUCAUAUGGCGUAAUAACGUAUCUGUAGGAUGCUGGAAGCUCUGCCACAAAUAAUUGGACUCACCGUAGUAUCGGAGAACAAGAUUCCCGGUAUCCAACAAUAUUCCGAUAGUAGAAUUUGAAGUUAAUAAUGGUUCCCGUGAUGUUGAUGAGACAUUCGAUGACCAAAUGAGUUCACCUUUUUCAUCGAAAAUCACUAAAUUUCCAUCACCGCCGACAGUGAAAACUGGUGAAGCAUUUGAUGGGAUUGGAGAUUCUCUGUUGGCUACCCAAACAACUGUUUGUUGAGGGAUUAUGUUGUACCAUAUGCCAAGAUAGGUGUACAUUGAAUUUGAUGGAAUGAAAAAUCCUAAGGCGAAACUUCUAUCAGAU